UGGGGAAUAUUGCACAAUGGGCGCAAGCCUGAUGCAGCCAUGCCGCGUGUAUGAAGAAGGCCUUCGGGUUGUAAAGUACUUUCAGCGGGGAGGAAGGCGAUAAGGUUAAUAACCUUGUCGAUUGACGUUACCCGCAGAAGAAGCACCGGCUAACUCCGUGCCAGCAGCCGCGGUAAUACGGAGGGUGCAAGCGUUAAUCGGAAUUACUGGGCGUAAAGCGCACGCAGGCGGUCUGUCAAGUCGGAUGUGAAAUCCCCGGGCUCAACCUGGGAACUGCAUUCGAAACUGGCAGGCUAGAGUCUUGUAGAUGGGGGUAGAAUUCCAGGUGUAGCGGUGAAAUGCGUAGAGAUCUGGAGGAAUACCGGUGGCGAAGGCGGCCCCCUGGACAAAGACUGACGCUCAGGUGCGAAAGCGUGGGGAGCAAACA
rnacentral:rRNA from 1 species